UUCGGAUUAGCCUAAAUCUGAGCUUCGAGUUGGCUUGGAUCUGAUUUUGGAUUGGUCUGAAUCUGGAUUUCAGGUUGGCCUAGAUCUGACUUCGAAUUGGUCUGAAUCUGGAUUUCAGAUUUGCCUGAUUCUGAGCUUCGGAUGGACCUGGAUUUGGCUUCAGAUUAGCCUGGAUUUGGCUUCUGGUUGGCUUGAUUCUGGACUUCGGAUGGGCCUAGAUCUGGCUUCGGAUUGGCCUAAUUGCUGUCGAGAUACUCAUUGUAGAAACC
rnacentral:lncRNA from 1 species